UACGUAGGUGACAAGCGUUGUCCGGAAUUACUGGGCGUAAAGGGAGCGCAGGCGGUUUGUAUAGUCUGAUGUGAAAGCCCACGGCUUAACCGGGGAAGGACAUUGGAAACUGUCCAACUUGAGUGCAGUAGAGGUAAGUGGAAUUCCAUGUGUAGCGGUGAAAUGCGUAGAUAUAUGGAGGAACACCAGUGGCGAAGGCGACUUACUGGUCUGUGACUGACGCUGAGGCUCGAAAGCGUGGGGAGCAAACAGG
rnacentral:rRNA from 1 species